CUGGCCCGGCUGAGCGCCAGGCGCACCCGGAAACUGCGGGGCCGGGAUCUCCGGGAAAGCUUCCUCCUCCCCUCCCUAGUUCAUUGACUCGCCGUUAAGAGACUGGUACACAAGGAAUACUUGCUGCUCAGUGAUUGUGAAAUAAACAUUGACUGACUUUGUCCAAUCUUCAUUUAAUCUUCACAACAACCCUAUGAGAAAACUGAAGUACAGCUAGUAAGUGAUGAUGCUGGCAUUCACACUAGGAAGCUUCCUAAGUACUAAGGCAGUUCUCCUAACUGCUGAACUUCCUCUGAGGGCCAGUCCAAUCUACAAAGGCUUCCCAAGCCAGUCUCUAGCAAGUGCACUGUGAGAACAAAAAAUGAACAAGACCCACUCCUACCCUCCAGAUCUAGCGAAGGAGAAACUCAGAAGACUCAGAUGGAAGUUGGGGGGUGAUCAAAGAAGAUUCCACAAUGGAGAUGGCAUUUGAGUCAGUCCUUGAAGAGGUAAAAUGUCAGCAGCUGGAGGGACAUGCAGGAAACAGAAAUGACCUCACCUUGAGCUGAGAUCUGUUCCCGGAGUCAGCCCUUGGCUCCAGAAGCCCCAGUCACCAUUCCUCGAACAUGUUCUAGAGUUCCUCCAAGAUGCAGGUCACUCUCCUCUGGAAAAGCCCUUUUUCCUUGUCCCUUGCACUGUGUAGUGCCCAGAGAUACCAUCAGCAAAGUAUGUUUGGACAAGACGGUGGGAAAACUUUGCCACUCAGGAGAAGAAUCUAGAAAGUGCACCCUUACCUGUAACAACAAGCACUAUCCAAUCCAGGUGUGCUUCACUCUAAGGAAAAAAAAAGAUUUUAAAAUCAAGAGGCCAGGUGCGGUGGCUCACUCCUGUAAUCCCAGCACUUUGGGAGGCCGAGGCAGGUGGAUCGCCUGAGGUCAGGAGUUUGAGACCAGCCUGGCCAAUAUGGUGAAACCCCAUCUCUACCAAAAGUAACAAAAAUUAGCCAGGCGUGGUGGUGUGCAUCUGUAGUCCCAGCUACUCAGGACGCUGAGGCAGGAGAAUCACUUGAACCUGGGAGGCGGAGAUUGCAGUGAUCCAAGAUCGCGCCACUGCACUCCAACCUGGGUGACAGAGCGAGACUCUGUCUCAAAUAAGUAAAUAAAUAAUAAAAUCAAGAUAGCAAUUUUUAAGUGAAUAAAUCAGCAAAACAGAAUAUAAAUUAUUCACAUACCAAAUGUUUAUUUUUUGUUACAAAAGAAACAUUCAUUUCAACAGUUUUACUACUUUAUUUAAAAUAUUAUUUUCAUUAAAGAUAUGAUUGGCAAAGGGUUCAUCCCUAUCUCUAAGUUAGGAAAAGAUCCAACAAAUUGGUAAAGAAGGUAUUAGGACUUUAGUAAAUAAAUGGGAAAAGGGGACUGGGCACGGUGGCUCACGCCUGUAAUCCCAGCACUUUGGGAGGCAGAGAUGGGUGGAUCACGAGGUCCGGAGUUCAAGACCAGCCUGGCCAAGAUGGUGAAAGCCUGUCUCUACUGAAAAUACAAAAAAUUAGCCGGGCAUGGUGGCGGGCACCUGUAAUCCCAGCUACAAAGGAGGCUGAGGCAGAGAACUGCUUGAACCCGGGAGGCGGAGGUUGCAGUGAGCCGAGAUCGUGCCACUGCACUCCAGCCUGGGCGACAGAGCAAGACUCCAUCUCAAACAAAACAAAACAAAAAACAUAGGCCGGGCAUGGUGGCUCAUUCCUGUAAUCCCAGCACUUUUGGAGGCCGAGGCGGGCAGAUCACAAAGUCAGGAGGUCAAGACCAGCCUGGUUAACAUAGUAAAACCCCCUCUCUACUAAAAUACAAAAAUUAGCCAGGCAUGGUGGUGCACACCUGUAGUCCCAGUUACUGGGGAGCCUGAGGCAGGAGAAUCACUUGAACCUGGAAGGUGGAAGUUGCAGUGAGGCGAGAUCACACCACUGCACUCCAGCCUUGGGUGACUGAGUAAGACUCCGUCUCGGGGAAAUAAAACAGAACAAAAUGGGAAAAGGACCUGAAUAAUCAAUUCACAGCCAAAGAAACUUUUAAAUAAAUGUUCAACCUUAACAA